CUCGUGUCGUGAGAUGUUGGGUUAAGUCCCGCAACGAGCGCAACCCUCGUCCUUAGUUGCCAGCAUUUGGUUGGGCACUCUAAGGAAACUGCCGGUGAUAAGCCGGAGGAAGGUGGGGAUGACGUCAAGUCCUCAUGGCCCUUACAGGCUGGGCUACACACGUGCUACAAUGGCGGUGACAGUGGGCAGCAAGCACGCGAGUGUGAGCUAAUCUCCAAAAGCCGUCUCAGUUCGGAUUGUUCUCUGCAACUCGAGAGCAUGAAGGCGGAAUCGCUAGUAAUCGCGGAUCAGCAUGCCGCGGUGAAUACGUUCCCAGGCCUUGUACACACCGCCCGUCACACCAUGGGAGUUG
rnacentral:rRNA from 1 species